CCACCAGGGCUGGGACUGCCCGGCCAGGCCCCCGCCCGCGCCUCCCCGCGCCACCCCGCCCCUCCCAGCGCCACCCAGCGCCCCUCACCGUGCGCUCUCCACGCACCCGCCGGCGCGGCCAGACCGGGUAGCCAGAAAAAUCAUUUUUCUUCGCUGGGAAGGUGAACAUUUGUAGCAUUGAUUUCCCGGAUCUGGUAACAUGGCAAAAGAUGCCGGUCUUAUUGAAGCCAACCGAGAACUCAAGGUCUUCACAGACCAAAACCUUAGUCCCGGAAAAGUCGUGGUGUCCCUCGUGGCCGUUCACCCCUCCACCGUCAACCCGCUCGGGAAGCAGCUCUUGGCAAAAACCUUUGGACAGUCCAAUGUCAACAUUGCCCAGCAAGUGGUAAUUGGUACGCCUCAGAGACCAGCAGCGUCAAACGCCCUGGUGGUAGGAAGCCCACACAUCCCCAGCACUCACUUUGCCUCUCAGAGCCAGCCUUCUGACUCCUCACCUUGGGCUGCCGGGAAGCGCAACAGAAAAGGAGAGAAGAAUGGCCAAGGGCCUGCGACACUUCUCCAUGGUCUGCGAGAAGGUUCAGAGGAACGGAACCACUUCCUACAACGAAGUGGGGGACCAGCUGGUCUCGGAGUUCAGUGCUGCCGACAACCACAUCUUACCAAACGAGUCAGGUUAUGACCAGAACAGCAUAAGACGGCGCGUCUACGAUGCCGUAAACGUGCUGAUGGCCAUGAACAUCAUCUCCAACGAGAAAAAGGAGAUCAAGUGGAUUGGUCUGCCCACCAACUCAGCUCAGGAAUGUCAGAACUUAGAGGUGGAAAGACAGAGGAGACUUGAAAGAAUAAAACAGAAACAGUCUCAACUUCAAAACUUAUUCUACAGCAAAUUGCCUUCAAGAACCUGGUGCAGAGAAACCGGCACUCAGAGCAGCAGGCCAGCCAGCCGCUGCCACCCAACUUGGUCAUCCACCUGCCCUUCAACAUCAUCAACACCAGCAAGAAGACCAUCAUCGACUGCAGCAUCUACAAUGACAAUUUCGAGUGUCUGUUUAAUUUUGACAACACAUUUGAAAUUCACGAUGACACAGAAGCGCUGAAGCAGAUGGGCAUGGCCUGCGGGCUGGAGUCUGGGAGCUGCUCUGCUGAAGACCUUAAAAUGGCCAGAAGUCUGGUCCGAAAGGCUCUGGAGCCGUACGUGACAGAAAUGGCUCAGGGAACGUUGGAGGCGUGUUCAUCACGACGGCAGGUUCCACGUCUAACGGCACGAGGUUCUCUGCCAGUGACCUGACCAACGGUGCAGCUAGGACGCUGGCCACAAGCCCCGAUGCGUCUCAGUACAGCGGCUCCAGGGUGGAGACCCUGGUGUCUUAAGUCGGGGAGGAAGACGAGGAGGAUAAUGUCUUCAACGAGAAUGAGGAGGACGACUGACGUUCUCCCCACUUCAAUUUCAGCUUCAGGAAAACGUUUACGGGAAAGAAUUUUUUUUUUUAUUGUGGGUUUUCUGUUUCCUUUUGGCCCACUCCCAAGGAGAUAUUGGUAAGCUAUUGAAUUUAGAUAUGCACCUCUGAUAAGCAAGGAUUGUUUCCCGUAGGAUUAGGACGUGCUGUGGAUGUGUGUUUUGAUACCAGUGUACAGAUGCAGAGUGUUUAUUUACUGUUUAGGAUUUUGUGUUUUCAUUUUCUAUUUUUCUUCAAGUGCAGAGUUCAUUUUUGCCGCUGAACAUUUUUUGUUGAGUUUCUGAAGCAAUUGUAUUUCAUCCACAUUCAUGAAAAUGAAACGCCCUCCUGUUGUGGAUGGUGAUCACCUGAUGCCGUUUAUUUGCGUGAGUUUGGGCGGCGCCCCCGCUGGCAGAUGGUGAGACUCUGUGGAGUUUGUUCAGUGGUACCAUGUCCAAGCAAACAGCAGAAUUCGACUUUCUAAACAGCCCCAAGCAAAACAGCAGAAUUCAGCUUUCUAAACAAUAAACACCAUCAACCUUAUUGACUUUAUUGUCCCUUAAAUUAUAUUGACUGUUGUGAUUCCAUCAAGUUUAUACACUCUUUUCUCUCCCUAUUUUGCAGCAACAAAUUGCAAAGUGCUUUUGUUUCUUUGUUUUUGUUUGGUUAAAGCUUAUUGCCACGCUGGUGCGGCUAUGGAGGCUAUCUGAAAGGCUUGGAAUGGUUUAUUGCUUAUGGUAAAAUUUGCCUGAUUUCUUGAAGGCAGCGUUUGGAAACAUUUUAUUAUAUAGUUGUUUAUAUACUUGUAAUUCUAUCAUUUAAAGACAUGUACUGAAACAAAUGUAUUUAUUUCAUAAGUAUCUUCCUGUAAUCUAUUAUAA